rnacentral:rRNA from 1 species
AUUGAACGCUGGCGGCAUGCUUUACACAUGCAAGUCGAACGGGCUUAGGGGCUUGCUCCUAAGUUAGUGGCGAACGGGUGAGUAAUACAUCGGAACGUACCGUGUAGUGGGGGAUAACGUAGCGAAAGUUACGCUAAUACCGCAUACGAUCUACGGAUGAAAGUGGGGGACCUUCGGGCCUCACGCUAUACGAGCGGCCGAUGUCUGAUUAGCUAGUUGGUGAGGUAAAGGCUCACCAGGGCAACGAUCAGUAGCGGGUCUGAGAGGAUGAUCCGCCACACUGGGACUGAGACACGGCCCAGACUCCUACGGGAGGCAGCAGUGGGGAAUUUUGGACAAUGGACGAAAGCCUGAUCCAGCCAUGCCGCGUGUCUGAGAAGGCCUCGGUUGUAAGGACUUUGUC